AUACGGAGGGUGCAAGCGUUACUCGGAAUCACUGGGCGUAAAGCGCGCGCAGGCGGUCUUUUAAGUUGGAUGUGAAAGCCUACGGCUCAACCGUAGAACUGCAUCCAAAACUAUUAGACUAGAGUGUGCGAGAGGAAGAUGGAAUUAGUUGUGUAGGGGUAAAAUCCGUAGAGAUAACUAGGAAUACCAAAAGCGAAGGCAAUCUUCUGGAACACUACUGACGCUGAGGCGCGAAAGCGUGGGGAGCAAACAGAAUUAGAAACCCCAGUAGUCC
rnacentral:rRNA from 1 species